rnacentral:rRNA from 1 species
CGCGUAGGCGGCCUUCUAAGUCAGACGUGAAAUCCCUCGGCUUAACCGGGGAACUGCGUCUGAUACUAGAGGGCUUGAAUUCGGGAGAGGGAUGUGGAAUUCCAGGUGUAGCGGUGAAAUGCGUAGAUAUCUGGAGGAACACCGGUGGCGAAGGCGGCAUCCUGGACCGAGAUUGACGCUGAGGCGCGAAAGCUAGGGGAGCAAACG